rnacentral:rRNA from 1 species
GACGAACGCUGGCGGCGUGCCUAAUACAUGCAAGUUGAGCGCACAGGUUAUGUACUUGUUUCCUACGGCUUAGCAGCGAACGUGUGAGUAACGCGUGGAGACUCUGCCUUUGAGCGGGGGACAACAUUUGGAAACGAAUGCUAAUACCGCAUAACAACUUUAAACACAUGUUUUAAUUUUGAAAGAUGCAAUUGCAUUAUUCAAUGAUGAUCCCGCGUUGUAUUAGCUAGUUGGUGAGGUAAAGGCUCACCAAGGCGAUGAUACAUAGCCGACCUGAGAGGGGGAUCGGCCACACUGGGACUGAGGCACGGCCCAAACUCCUACGGGAGGCAGCAGUAGGGAAUCUUCGGCAAUGGACGAAAGUCUGACCGAGCAACGCCGCGUGAGUGAAGAAGGUUUUCGGAUCGUAAAACUCUGUUGGUAGAGAAGAACGUUGGUGAGAGUGGAAAGCUCAUCAAGUGACGGUAACUAACCAGAAAGGGACGGCUAACUACGUG